rfam:Canis lupus familiaris chromosome 26, whole genome shotgun sequence.
GCCUGGCUGGCUCAGUCAGUAGAGCAUGUGACUCCUGAUCUCAGGGUUGUGAGUUAGAGCCCCACGUUGGGUG